rnacentral:rRNA from 1 species
GACGUAGGGGGCCAGCGUUGUUCGGAAUUACUGGGUGUAAAGGGUUCGUAGGCGGUGCGGCAAGUUGGGAGUGAAAUCUCUGGGCUUAACCCAGAGGCUGCUUCCAAAACUGCUGUGCUUGAGUGUGGGAGAGGCGCGUGGAAUUGCAGGUGUAGCGGUGAAAUGCGUAGAUAUCUGCAGGAACACCCGUGGCGAAAGCGGCGCGCUGGACCACUACUGACGCUGAGACGCGAAAGCGUGGGGAGCGAACAGG